rnacentral:snRNA from 1 species
AUACUUACCUGGCAGGGGAGAUACCAUGAUCAUGAAGGUGGUUUUCCUAGGGCGAGGCUUAUCCAUUGCACUCCGGAUGUGCUGACCCCUGCGAUUUCCCCAAAUGUGGGAAACUCGACUGCAUAAUUUGUGGUAGUGGGGACUGCGUUCGCGCUUUCCCCUA